CCAGAGCUGCUGCAUCUGUGGCCAGAGUGGGGCCACCAUCCCCUGCUGUGAUGGCACAGGGGGAAGGCAGGGACACCCUGCACCUGCCCGAUUCCAGGACAGAGGGAGCUCAUCAGUUUUCUUUUCCCAUCAGGCCACCAUCAUGGGAGGGCUUUAAUGCAUUGGCCGAGCUAGAAGAGAGACACAGGCACUGGGAUGCCAGUGAGUGCCUUUGUCCAGGAGGCAGGCAGGAGGCAGAGGAGGAGGGGCCCUGGGAACUGCUCCUGUGCUCCUCCUGUGCUGCCGAGGGCACCCACAGACACUGCUCUGGCCUGGGGACAGCAGAACCAGAUGGGAAUGUGAUGGCUGUGCACUCCCGGGCACAGGUAAAAGGCAAAGCACCCUGCCUCCAGUUAAGACCCAGAGCAUGUUGCUCUCAUGAGGGAGUCUUCUGACGACUUGACAGAAUACGAGACCAUCACCCCCAGUACGAGCAAACUCCACACCACCCAACAGGCAACAUCGGAGGAGACUCUGGAAUCCCCCUCCCAGGAGACGAGCAGCUCCAGCCCUGACAGUCAGGUAACAUCGGGGUCGUGUCAGUGUUUCCUGCCUCGGAACCAGUGGAGGAGCACCUUGGAAGCG